rnacentral:rRNA from 1 species
CAGUCGCCGCGGGAAUACGGAGGAUCCGAGCGUUAUCCGGAAUUAUUGGGUUUAAAGGGUGCGUAGGCGGAUAGAUAAGUCAGUGGUGAAAGACGGUGGCUCAACCAUCGCAGUGCCGUUGAUACUGUUUAUCUUGAAUAUGGAUGAGGUAGGCGGAAUGUGGCAAGUAGCGGUGAAAUGCAUAGAUAUGCCACAGAACACCGAUUGCGAAGGCAGCUUACCAAGGCAAAAUUGACGCUGAGGCACGAAAGCGUGGGGAUCGAACAGGAUUAGAUACCCGUGUAGUCCCUGUCUCUUAUAC